GGUUGUAUAUUCCUUUUAUGUACGUGUCCCCAUAUUGUUUUUUCGUGCUAUAUGGCAUAGGAACAUUUGGUUAGACUUUCUAAAAAGGACAAGAUCAGUAAUAAAUAAAUAUAUAUAUAUAUAUUAUAUAUAUAAUUAUAAAUUAAUAUUUUUUUAUAUUAUUAAUAGUAUAUUUAGACAUAUUUCUAGUGCAUAUUGUUUAUUUACUUGCUUAUUAUUUCGGAUUUCAUAAAAGCCUA
rnacentral:lncRNA from 1 species